rnacentral:pre_miRNA from 1 species
UCUUCAUUUCUCGUAUUCUCUCGCCAGUCAGAGAGGCUAGAUAGUGUGGGAAAUGAAGAGA